GAAGUGGUUCAGACCGUCGCUGAGGCAAGACCCGAAAGGGUGCCUUGGAGGAAAGUCCGGACUGCACAGAGCAGCGUAGGGGGUAACACCCCUCCGGCGCGAGCCGAGGAUUAGAGCAACAGAGACGAGUUUGAGUGGGUAGCGUGGACGCGGUGCAAGCUGCAACCUCGCGAAACCGCCUGAGGGUGGUCUGUGGGCCCGGUGCGAGCCGGGAGCCGACGCGCAAGCGGCGGCUUUGGGUGCAACCCAAACCCCACAGCACCUUGGGUGGCCCGCCGGCGCUUGCCGGCGUCCCGCCCAAGGUGAAACGGGCAAUCUCUACGCGCAGCAACACCAAGUAGGCCGGCGUUGACGUGACUCGCGGAGCCGGCGGGUAGGUGGCAUCGAGCCGGGGUGUGAGCCCCGGCCCAGAGGAAUGACGGUCAAGGUCUGGCAACAGGCCUCACAAAAUCCGGCUUAUCGAACGGCUUCACGA
rnacentral:RNase_P_RNA from 1 species